rnacentral:tRNA from 1 species
GGCUUCGUAGCUCAACUGGUAGAGCGUUUGCCGCGUUGAGGCAUGGUGCUUCCGUGGCUGGUUCGAAUCUAGCCGAAGCUC